UAUUAAAUGUGGAGGUUGGUGGCCCUGCAUGCAGCAGGGGGAUUGGAGAUUGAUGAUCUUUGAGGUCCCUUCCAACCCAAGUCAUACAAUAACCACUGAAAAAAAGUCACUAAAACUAAUGAAAAAUUCAGUUCCAAAGACUUCACUGGAUUGGUUUCUACAUUCAGCUUCUAGAAUCUUGGAACAAAAUACACUGACAGUUCACAUUGUUAAAAAAUUGAAUGCAAAAUAAAUGUCCCC
rnacentral:lncRNA from 1 species